UCCGCUACACAUUGAGACCAACGUACCU
rnacentral:piRNA from 1 species